UCACCUGGCCAGCUACCGGAGUGGAUGCAGCUGAGUGGCUUGGGGAGCUGGGCAGGGACUUGCAGGCAGCCAGAAGCUGUUGCUGCUUGCGCAAGGUCACCACCUUCUGGGCCACCUCCUGGAAGACCCGAUCCACAUUGAGCCCAUAGGUUGCACAAGUCUCAUAGUAGCUGCAGCGUUUCAUGUCCGCGCACAGAGCUCUGGCACGAGCAUCUCCCACCACCCGAGGGGAGGAAGCACUGAUCCUGUCUGA
rnacentral:lncRNA from 1 species